rnacentral:sRNA from 1 species
GCUGGGCACGGUGGCGCGUGCCUGUAAUCCCAGCUACUCAGGAGGCUGAGGCAGGAGAAUUGCCUGAACCCAGGAGGCGGAGGUUGCAGUGAGCCGAGAUCACGCCAUUGCACUCCAGCCUGGGUAACAAGAGCAAAACUCCGUCUCAAAAAAAAAAAAAGAAAAAAUUAGGUGGAAAAAAGACAGUGUUGCUCUGUCGACAGGCUGGAUUCAGUGGCACAAUCUCGGCUCACUGCAACCUCCGCCUCCCGUGUUCAAGUGAUUCUCCUGCCUCAG